GACGUAGGAGGCGAGCGUUAUCCGGAUUCACUGGGCGUAAAGCGCAUGUAGGCGGAUGAUCAAGUCGCGUGUUAAAGCCCCUGGCUCAACUGGGGGAGGUCAUGCGAGACUGGUUGACUUGAGGGCAACAGAGGCACAUGGAACUCCCGGUGUAGCGGUGGAAUGCGUAGAGAUCGGGAAGAACACCCGUGGCGAAGGCGGCCUGCUGGGCAGUGGGAUCGAAAGGUCCCUUUAACCGACACUGAGGCGCGACAGCGUGGGGAGCAAACAGG
rnacentral:rRNA from 1 species